AAUUCGAUUAGUUUGAUCAUGGCUCAGGAUGAACGCUAGCGGCGGGCCUAAUACAUGCAAGUCGAGCGGUUUGUUUACAGACGAGCGGCGCACGGGUGCGUAACGCGUAUGCAACCUGCCCUUCACUGUGGGAUAGCCCUGCGAAAGCGGGAUUAAUACCACAUGGUUCACAGUUGUCACCUGGCAUAUGUGAUAAAGAUUUAUCGGUGAGGGAUGGGCAUGCGUGCCAUUAGCUAGUUGGUGAGGUAACGGCUCACCAAGGCUACGAUGGCUAGGGGGCCUGAGAGGGUGGUCCCCCACACUGGUACUGAGACACGGACCAGACUCCUACGGGAGGCAGCAGUAGGGAAUAUUGGUCAAUGGGCGCAAGCCUGAACCAGCCACGCCGCGUGC
rnacentral:rRNA from 1 species